CAUGCGCUGGCGGCAGAGGCGAGGACAAGGAGAAGGAGAGAGCGGGGAAGAGAGAGAAAGGGAGUGCGAGAAAGAGAAGGAGAAAGAAGAAGGGAAGACAACGGGAGAGGAUUUAGCGUAGGAUGCAUGAGGCUUCAAGUUCUAGAAGCCACGUUGUCGCAUUUCGAUGUGUGCGGCGGACAGAAUGAUCUACAAAGAAAUGAGGGGAAAGAUGCGAAGAUCAUUCUGUGGAUGCGUAUCGUCUCGCGGCCUUAUCACUCCUGCUGCUGUGACCCUCGGCUCGCUGGAAAAACUGACGCGUAGGUGGAUUUCCUUGGGUCCAUCCAAGAGGACCUCCUUCCUCCCUCACCGUCCAAGCGCAAGUACUUGAAGUUGCGGUAGGCGAAGUAGUCUUCCAUGAUGGUCAUGAGCGAGGUCAUCUGGCAGAAGAGCAGCACCUUGUGUCCGGUGGCUCGCAGCUUGGGCAGGAUGCGGUCCAGAACCUCGAACUUGCCCGAGGCGCGGUACAGGUCCGCCCUGCAGCAGGAGGAAGGAAGGGGGUGAAGCACCGAUUAACCAGGAGAUACCUGCGGUCCCAGGCCAAAUCUAGGACAAUAUCUCAGAAGGCUCUUACCCCUGGACUAUCCCACCGGUGAAUCCUAGGUGCUCGGAGAAAGAUUCCUGAAAGAAUAAGCAACGAUGAUGGUUGAACCUCUAGGGAAUGGCAAUAGUCUGACUGAUCCCUGUGAAAACUGAUUCAAUUCAGUUAAAUUCAAUUCAAUUCAAUUCAAUUCACCACUCAGUCACCCCCAGGUGCUUCACAUGAGCUCGUUUUGAUGCAACAUCAUUACGACAGAAUACUAUAAAAAUUGGACAUAGAAAUAACAAAGAUAUGACAAACAGCUGGAUGACAACAGAGAACAGGAACCAAAAACUCCCAAGUAGGGAGAAAAAAGAUCUCUUGGGGUCCAAGGAGGGUUUGUCAGUGCCUUGGUCCAAGUUAUCUAUCUAGUAGACUUGUUGAGGCUGAAACCAGGAUUAGAAGAUUAUCUCUGCACCAAGGCUGGGCAAACACUUUACCUCGAUCUGCUGGAACAUGUAUGGGUGGUUGCAGAUCUUCCUCAGCUGCAUGAUGGUGUUCAUCAGGGUCUUCGUCCCACCUUUGCCCUUGAUUGACACAAACGCGAAUAAGUGGGGCAACCUCACACUGUGGGUGGCGGAAAGGUGCAGCAGCGGAGUCUUACCCUACCUCACGCGCCCUCACCUUCUUGUCCUUUUCGGAGCCGUCAGUGAGCAGAACCCCUUUGGCCUGCAUAUGCCGGUAGAGCACCCUCUGCAGGGCUGACAUGUCGCACUUAAUCACAUACUCAACCUGCGACAGAUGGGAGAUAUUAUCAGCCACACAAAGCUGCAGAGAACUGUGAUUUCACAAGAGGCUGCAGCUUCGGUCAUUGGGAAGGUACAUGCAAGUACAUCAGUCUGAACAAGAAAGCUGGGGAGGGGGACCUCCAGGCCGACGUGCCAUUCCAGCUACUCCGAGCGUGAGAGGCUGGGGGGGGCGGGUAUGGCCUCACUUUCUCAGGCAGCUGUGCCUCCACCUCCUUCUUCAGCCGGCGGAGCAGGAACGGCCGGAGCACCUUGUGAAGGCGGCGAAUGAUCAGGAUGGUCUCCUCCUCGUUCAAAUCCACCUGUGCCGGGUGUGGGUGGGGCGGCGGGGGGACACCAAAGUGAGUCAGGAGCUCAUCACAUGUCUUUGAGGGACAGAAUUAUCAGAGCUGGGAAUAGAGCUGCUCUGGUAGGACACCAAUCCAAGCAUCUUGUUGGACGUAAGGGAACGGAGAUCAAGUCCAUUUAGCCGAGAUGUGCUUAAAUCCAACAAGUAAUUCUGGGAAACGAGAUAUGCUCUGUGGAACACCCCCCCCCCCCCCGCUUUGUUUCCUAGGCAACCUGAAUGAACAGUAUUACCUCUACUAAAUGGGGACGUGACAUUUCGAUGGAGACGGCUACCUUCUCUCCAGUCAUGGCGAAGGGCGCGUUGAACCACUGCUCGAAGGUGCUGCAGCUCUUGAAGAUGGUGGGCAGCAGGAAGUUCAGCAGGGCCCAGAGCUCGGGAAGCUUGUUCUGCAGCGGCGUGCCGGUGAGCAACACGCGCCGCGGCGCCAGGCUGACAUGCAUGCAGAACGAUCCCUCCAAGAUGUCCGGGAGAUGUCCAGCAUCACUGUUCACACCGGCAUGUCUAAGUUACGCACUGGAAGUAAAACACCGAUGGGCUUAAACUUUCACCGCCGUGAAGCGUGAGCAGAGGACAAAGAGGGACUGCGUCGAGAAACGGCUCGUACUC